CUCUUGGAGCCGCUGCUUAGGCUUAUUGUCCUCUCUGGGCGCUUUGUAUUCUUGAUGUUGGUGGGAAGAAUAAAAGGUGGCUACAGUUUAACUGGAAGUGACAAACUGAGGAAACUGAGGCACUGGAAGAUGAAGGCUACAGAGGUAGAAAGUGAUGGAGGAGAUACAUCCAGAAGACUGCAUUACAAUUUCAAAUCAAAGCUGGACAAGUUUUUUUUUUUUUUUACACAGAUAUCACCAUGUUAGAAAAGUUGGACAAGUUUUGAAACCAUUCUGAACCUAUCAUUCCUGUCUUUCAAAUCCUUCCAAGGCAUCUUAUUAUUGAUUUGUUUCUAUAUUUUCCUCAUUAUUAAAGAGGUUGAGUAUCUUUUCUCUAGAGCUAGUUUGGGUUCUGAUUUUCUUCACUUUCGUGAUGGAGUCAUUUUAGAAUUGAAGGGCAUCAUAGCAACUGAGGCAGUGUUGACAUCAUCAAUGUUUUAGGAUUACAGGUAACCAUAUUUC
rnacentral:lncRNA from 1 species